CCUACGGGGGCAGCAGUGGGGAAUAUUGGACAAUGGGCGAAAGCCUGAUCCAGCCAUGCCGCGUGUGUGAAGAAGGCCUUCGGGUUGUAAAGCACUUUCAGUGGGGAAGAAAGCCUUGGGGCUAAUACCCUCGAGGAAGGACAUCACCCACAGAAGAAGCACCGGCUAACUCCGUGCCAGCAGCCGCGGUAAUACGGAGGGUGCGAGCGUUAAUCGGAAUUACUGGGCGUAAAGCGCGCGUAGGCGGUCUGAUAAGCCGGUUGUGAAAGCCCCGGGCUCAACCUGGGAACGACAUCCGGAACUGUCAGGCUAGAGUGCAGGAGAGGAAGGUAGAAUUCCCGGUGUAGCGGUGAAAUGCGUAGAGAUCGGGAGGAAUACCAGUGGCGAAGGCGGCCUUCUGGACUGACACUGACGCUGAGGUGCGAAAGCGUGGGUAGCAAACAGGAUUAGAUACCCUAGUAGUC
rnacentral:rRNA from 1 species